ensembl:lncRNA
AAAGAAAGGAGGGAGGGAGCUUGUGUGCGCUGCUCGCUCAAAGAAAGACCAACACAGCGAAACACACAAGGCUGGCUGCGACUAGAGAGACAGAGCCAGCAGGGCAGGCAGCAUGGCGGGGCCGCAGGACUUCCAACAAGGCAGCCACUGUCACAGGAAAACGUGGAUCAAUAUAUUACUAGGAAUACUACAAUUACUUUUACCAUGCGUACAGCACGGAGGAGCCCAGCUGCAAGCCCUGAGUCAGAUUUCUACCAGCGUUGUGGAGGUUUGGCAGCCGGAGGAUGCAGAACCUUUAAUUCCGCUUCAGUAAUGGCACACCUGUUGUAGGGAAUGAGCGCUGUUCCCCCUCCCGUGUAUGUGCUGCGCUGGUGCUCCACCACUCCGCCACCCUCUGACAAAAUUUUGAGCCAAAUCUAUUUUCUUCUCCGCUGGUGUCCGGCCAGAUCGAUCUUCACAGUUCAGAACACACCAAACAGAAAAGAGAACGUGAACUACAUCCGG